UGCAUCAGGGGCCUGUGAGGAUGAGAACCUCCGGGGGCAGGAGGUUCGACUCGAACGAAGCGAGAGAACGUUGCGUCAGCAACGGCCCGCAGGGCGAGCCACGAAGUGGUGAGUCAUCCUCUAUCACCGACCA
rnacentral:sRNA from 1 species